CAAGAGAAUUAGAACACUCCAUAAAAUUACACAGGUAUAUCUGAUAAAGGCCAUACUCUAUUUUUCCAUAUAAGUAUAAAACUGUUGUAUAAAAAAUUACCUUCUGGCCAGGUGUAGUGGCUCACACCUGUAAUUUCAGCACUUUGGGAGGCCAAGGCAUGCAGAUCACUUGAGGCCAGGAGUUCAAGGCCAGCCUGGCCAACAUGGCGAAACCCCCCUCUACUAAAAUACAAAUAUUAGCUGGGCCU
rnacentral:lncRNA from 10 species